rnacentral:rRNA from 1 species
CCAGACUCCUACGGGAGGCAGCAGUGAGGAAUAUUGGACAAUGGUCGGAAGACUGAUCCAGCCAUGCCGCGUGCAGGAUGAAGGUCUUAUGGAUUGUAAACUGCUUUUGUAAGGGAAGAAUAAGGGCUACGCGUAGUUUGAUGACGGUACCUUACGAAUAAGCAUCGGCUAACUCCGUGCCAGCAGCCGCGGUAAUACGGAGGAUGCGAGCGUUAUCCGGAAUCAUUGGGUUUAAAGGGUCUGUAGGCGGGCUGGUAAGUCAGAGGUGAAAGCGCUUAGCUCAACUAAGCAACUGCCUUUGAAACUGUUGGUCUUGAAUGGUUGUGAAGUAGUUGGAAUGUGUAGUGUAGCGGUGAAAUGCUUAGAUAUUACACAGAACACCGAUAGCGAAGGCAUAUUACUAACAAUUAAUUGACGCUGAUGGACGAAAGCGUGGGGAGCGAACAGGAUUAGAUACCCUGGUAGUCCACGCUGUAAACGAUGGAUACUAGCUGUUUGGUUUAAGGAUUGAGUGGCUAAGCGAAAGUGAUAAGUAUCCCACCUGGGGAGUACGUUCGCAAGAAUGAAACUCAAAGGAAUUGACGGGGGCCCGCACAAGAAGGGCGAAU